CCUCACUUGUGGGGGGAUUAGUGGCGAACGGGUGAGUAACACGUGAGUAACCUGCCCUUGACUCUGGGAUAAGCCUGGGAAACCGGGUCUAAUACUGGAUACGACCUUCUGGCGCAUGCCAUGUUGGUGGAAAGCUUUUGUGGUUUUGGAUGGACUCGCGGCCUAUCAGCUUGUUGGUGGGGUAAUGGCCUACCAAGGCGACGACGGGUAGCCGGCCUGAGAGGGUGACCGGCCACACUGGGACUGAGACACGGCCCAGACUCCUACGGGAGGCAGCAGUGGGGAAUAUUGCACAAUGGGCGCAAGCCUGAUGCAGCGACGCCGCGUGAGGGAUGAAGGCCUUCGGGUUGUAAACCUCUUUCAGUAGGGAAGAAGCCGGCCUUUGGGUUGGUGACGGUACCUGCAGAAGAAGCGCCGGCUAACUACGUGCCAGCCGCCGCCGUA
rnacentral:rRNA from 1 species